UGGGGAAUAUUGCGCAAUGGACGAAAGUCUGACGCAGCGACGCCGCGUGUGGGAUGACGGUCUUCGGAUUGUAAACCACUGUCGGGAGGGACGAAUACGCCGCAAGGCGGGUGACGGUACCUCCAAAGGAAGCACCGGCUAACUCCGUGCCAGCAGCCGCGGUAAUACGGAGGGUGCGAGCGUUGUCCGGAAUCACUGGGCGUAAAGGGCGCGUAGGCGGCCUGAUAAGUAGGGGGUGAAAUCCUGCGGCUUAACCGCAGGGCUGCCUUCUAAACUGUCAGGCUGGAGCACAGUAGAGGCAGGUGGAAUUCCCGGUGUAGCGGUGGAAUGCGUAGAGAUCGGGAAGAACAUCAGUGGCGAAGGCGGCCUGCUGGGCUGUUGCUGACGCUGAGGCGCGACAGCGUGGGGAGCAAACAGGAUUAGAUACCCUGGUAGUCCACGCCGUAAACGAUGGGCACUAGGCGUCGGGGGAGCGACCCUCCCGGUGCCGUCGCUAACGCAGUAAGUGCCCC
rnacentral:rRNA from 1 species